UNCCACUGAGCCAUGCCCUCAGCCCUACA
rnacentral:piRNA from 1 species